CAUUAAAGAGACGUUGCCCUUCGGGGUAUACCUCCCACCCAUUGUUUAUUAUACCUUUGUUGCUUUGGCAGACCCGGCUUCGGCCCACCGGCUCCGGCUGGUCAGUGUCUGCCAGAGGACCUAAAACUCUGUUUGUUAAUAUUGUCUGAGUACUAUAUAAUAGUUAAAACUUUC
rnacentral:rRNA from 1 species